rnacentral:rRNA from 1 species
GGAAGACGGCCUUCUGGGUUGUAAACUGCUUUUAUCAGGGAAGAAAAGGCCCUUGCGAGGGACAUUGCCGGUACCUGAGGAAUAAGCACCGGCUAACUCCGUGCCAGCAGCCGCGGUAAUACGGAGGGUGCGAGCGUUGUCCGGAUUUAUUGGGUUUAAAGGGCAAGUAGGCGGUUUGAUAAGUCAUAUGUGAAAGCCUCGGGCUCAACCUGGGAACUGCAUAUGAUACUGUCGAACUUGAGGACGGAAGAGGAGAGUGGAAUAUCCGGUGUAAGGGUGAAAUCUGUAGAUAUCGGAUAGAACACCAGUGGCGAAGGCGACUCUCUGGUCCGUAUCUGACGCUGAGAGGCGAAAGCUAGGGGAGCGAACAGGAUUAGAUACCCUGGUAGUCCUAGCCGUCAACGAUGGGCACUAGGUGUCGGAUUCUUCGGAAUUCGGUGCCGUAGCUAACGCGUUAAGUGCCCCACCUGGGGAGUACGGUCGCAAGAUUGAAACUCAAAGGAAUUGACGGGGACCCGCACAAGCGGUGGAGCAUGUGGUUUAAUACGAUGCUACGCGUGGAACCUCACCAGGACUUGACAUGUAGACAGUAUGAACCUGAAAGGGAGAAGACCCGUAUCCAGUCGGGAAUCUACACAGGUGUUGCAUGGCUGUCGUCAGCUCGUGCUGUGAAGUGUUGGGUUAAGUCCCGCAACGAGCGCAACCCUCGCCCUAUGUUGC